rnacentral:rRNA from 1 species
AGGGAACUGAAACAUCUAAGUACCCCGAGGAGAAGAAAUCAACCGAGAUUCCGGUAGUAGCGGCGAGCGAACCUGGAUUAGCCCUUAAGCACUCGGUGAAGUAGGUGAACAAGCUGGAAAGCUUGGCGAUACAGGGUGAUAGCCCCGUAACCGACGCUUCAUCGAGCGUGAAAUCGAGUAGGGCGGGACACGUGAUAUCCUGUCUGAAUAUGGGGGGACCAUCCUCCAAGGCUAAAUACUCCUGACUGACCGAUAGUGAACCAGUACCGUGAGGGAAAGGCGAAAAGAACCCCUGUGAGGGGAGUGAAAUAGAACCUGAAACCGUGUACGUACAAGCAGUAGGAGCACCUUCGUGGUGUGACUGCGUACCUUUUGUAUAAUGGGUCAGCGACUUAUAUUCAGUGGCAAGGUUAACCGUAUAGGGGAGCCGUAGCGAAAGCGAGUCUUAACUGGGCGCUCAGUCUCUGGAUAUAGACCCGAAACCGGGUGAUCUAGCCAUGGGCAGGUUGAAGGUUGAGUAACAUCAACUGGAGGACCGAACCGACUAAUGUUGAAAAAUUAGCGGAUGACUUGUGGCUAGGGGUGAAAGGCCAAUCAAACUCGGAGAUAGCUGGUUCUCCCCGAAAGCUAUUUAGGUAGCGCCUCGGACGAAUACUACUGGGGGUAGAGCACUGUUAAGGCUAGGGGGUCAUCCCGACUUACCAACCCUUUGCAAACUCCGAAUACCAGUAAGUACUAUCCGGGAGACACACGGCGGGUGCUAACGUCCGUCGUGGAGAGGGAAACAACCCAGACCGCCAGCUAAGGUCCCAAAGUAUUGCUAAGUGGGAAACGAUGUGGGAAGGCUCAGACAGCUAGGAUGUUGGCUUAGAAGCAGCCAUCAUUUAAAGAAAGCGUAAUAGCUCACUAGUCGAGUCGGCCUGCGCGGAAGAUGUAACGGGGCUAAGCAAUACACCGAAGCUGCGGCAAUAUCUUUUAGAUAUUGGGUAGGGGAGCGUUCUGUAAGCCGUUGAAGGUGAAUCGUAAGGUUUGCUGGAGGUAUCAGAAGUGCGAAUGCUGACAUGAGUAACGACAAAGGGGGUGAAAAACCUCCUCGCCGGAAGACCAAGGGUUCCUGUCCAACGUUAAUCGGGGCAGGGUGAGUCGACCCCUAAGGUGAGGCCGAAAGGCGUAAUCGAUGGGAAACGGGUUAAUAUUCCCGUACUUCUGACUAUUGCGAUGGGGGGACGGAGAAGGCUAGGUGGGCCAGGCGACGGUUGUCCUGGUUCAAGUGCGUAGGCUUGAGAGUUAGGUAAAUCCGGCUCUCUCUAAGGCUGAGACACGACGUCGAGCUGCUACGGCAGUGAAGUCAUUGAUGCCAUGCUUCCAGGAAAAGCCUCUAAGCUUCAGAUAGUCAGGAAUCGUACCCCAAACCGACACAGGUGGUCGGGUAGAGAAUACCAAGGCGCUUGAGAGAACUCGGGUGAAGGAACUAGGCAAAAUGGUACCGUAACUUCGGGAGAAGGUACGCUCUUGAUGGUGAAGUCCCUCGCGGAUGGAGCUGACGAGAGUCGCAGAUACCAGGUGGCUGCAACUGUUUAUUAAAAACACAGCACUGUGCAAAAUCGCAAGAUGACGUAUACGGUGUGACGCCUGCCCGGUGCCGGAAGGUUAAUUGAUGGGGUUAGCGCAAGCGAAGCUCUUGAUCGAAGCCCCGGUAAACGGCGGCCGUAACUAUAACGGUCCUAAGGUAGCGAAAUUCCUUGUCGGGUAAGUUCCGACCUGCACGAAUGGCGUAAUGAUGGCCACGCUGUCUCCACCCGAGACUCAGUGAAAUUGAAAUCGCUGUGAAGAUGCAGUGUACCCGCGGCUAGACGGAAAGACCCCGUGAACCUUUACUACAGCUUGGCACUGAACAUUGAACCUACAUGUGUAGGAUAGGUGGGAGGCUAUGAAGACGUGACGCCAGUUGCGUUGGAGCCGUCCUUGAAAUACCACCCUUGUAUGUUUGAUGUUCUAACUUAGACCCAUUAUCUGGGUUGAGGACAGUGCCUGGUGGGUAGUUUGACUGGGGCGGUCUCCUCCCAAAGAGUAACGGAGGAGCACGAAGGUGGGCUAAUCACGGUUGGACAUCGUGAGGUUAGUGCAAUGGCAUAAGCCCGCUUAACUGCGAGAAUGACGGUUCGAGCAGGUGCGAAAGCAGGUCAUAGUGAUCCGGUGGUUCUGUAUGGAAGGGCCAUCGCUCAACGGAUAAAAGGUACUCCGGGGAUAACAGGCUGAUACCGCCCAAGAGUUCAUAUCGACGGCGGUGUUUGGCACCUCGAUGUCGGCUCAUCACAUCCUGGGGCUGAAGUCGGUCCCAAGGGUAUGGCUGUUCGCCAUUUAAAGUGGUACGCGAGCUGGGUUUAGAACGUCGUGAGACAGUUCGGUCCCUAUCUGCCGUGGGCGUUGGAAGAUUGAAGGGGGCUGCUCCUAGUACGAGAGGACCGGAGUGGACGAACCUCUGGUGUUCGGGUUGUGUCGCCAGACGCAUUGCCCGGUAGCUAAGUUCGGAAUUGAUAAGCGCUGAAAGCAUCUAAGCGCGAAGCGAGCCCUGAGAUGAGUCUUCCCUGACAGUUUAACUGUUCUAAAGGGUUGUUCGAGACUAGAACGUUGAUAGGCAGGGUGUGUAAGCGUUGUGAGGCGUUGAGCUAACCUGUACUAAUUGCCCGUGAGGCUUAACCA